GCCAGUGUGGUGUAGUGGUUAGAGUGCUGGACUAGGACCUGGGAGGCCAGGGUUCAAAUCCCCACAUCCCCAGCGGCA